rnacentral:tRNA from 1 species
GUGGUGGCUCAGUGGCAAAGGGCUUGCUUCACACAUGUGAGGUACUGGGUUCAAUCCUCAGCACCACA